CACGUAGGCACCAAGCGUUGUCCGGAUUUAUUGGGCGUAAAGAGCUCGUAGGCGGUUCGGUAAGUCGGGUGUGAAAACUCUGGGCUCAACCCAGAGCCGCCACCCGAUACUGCUGUGACUCGAGUGCGGUAGGGGAGCGGGGAAUUCCUGGUGUAGCGGUGAAAUGCGUAGAUAUCGAGAGGAACACCUGCGGCGAAGGCGGGUUGCUGGGCUGAUACUGACGCUGAGGCGCGAAAGCCAGGGGAGCAAACGGG
rnacentral:rRNA from 1 species